rnacentral:rRNA from 1 species
GAUCAUGGCUCAGGAUGAUCGCUGGCGGCGUGCUUAACACAUGCAAGUCGAACGAAGAUGCCGGAGUGCUUGCACUUUGGCAGACUGAGUGGCGGACGGGUGAGUAACGCGUGGGUAACCUGCCUUAUACAGGGGGAUAACAGUUGGAAACGACUGCUAAUACCGCAUAAGCGCACGGUAUCGCAUGAUACAGUGUGAAAAACUCCGGUGGUAUAAGAUGGACCCGCGUCUGAUUAGCUUGUUGGUGAGGUAACGGCCCACCAAGGCGACGAUCAGUAGCCGGCCUGAGAGGGUGAACGGCCACAUUGGGACUGAGACACGGCCCAAACUCCUACGGGAGGCAGCAGUGGGGAAUAUUGCACAAUGGGGGAAACCCUGAUGCAGCGACGCCGCGUGAGUGAUGAAGUAUUUCGGUAUGUAAAACUCUAUCAGCAGGGAAGAUAAUGACGGUACCUGACUAAGAAGCACCGGCUAAAUACGUG